CAGCACUACAAACAUCUGCGCCCUUAAAGAGGCACGGAGGCUGAGUUCAUAUGGGAGCUACGGCAUGCCGGGUAGCCGGUUACAGGUGGAAUGGUUGCUGAGUGUCCUUGAUGUGCUGUGUGUUGGGAGGCGCAUGCGUGUGCCCUGUGAUGCACAUGGGCAGCAGUCAGUCACGUGUGCAGUGGGUGGAAGAGUGUGUACUUGAGUAUGGGCUAGCCUUGUGUGGGGCUUGUCCGUGGGGUUUGCAGGUGUUCGUAAAGAGGGUGUCUGUGUGCUAUGUAUUUGAGGGUGUGAUGUAUGAAUGUGAGGUGUGUGCAGUGGGGUCAGGAGAAAAGGUGUAUCCCUGUGUAUGUAUGGGUGUGCCCUGCAAGCCAGGGAGAAUCAUUUUUUGGUUAAACAAAUGAGGGACAGAUAUUGGGAAGAGACAGAUAACCUGUGCAUAUGAAGGGGAGAGAGAGAGAGAGAGAGAGAGAGAGAGAGAGAACCCCUGACUGGCCAUGCCUAUACGGAGGGCAUGGCUGCUUUUCACCUGCCCAGAGAAGCAUGGCUGGGAUCUCAAGUCACCCUUUCCAGAUUGUCGGAUAGAAUUUCCAUUCGCAUAUGGCUGUGUAAUUUCCACGGCGAGAGUGUGCUCUCUCCCUGUGACUAUCUCACUCUGCUCCUAACCCUAUUACAUACUCAAAUUGAAUUUUAUUUU